rnacentral:rRNA from 1 species
CCUACGGGUGGCAGCAGUGGGGAAUAUUGCACAACGGGCGCAAGCCUGAUGCAGCCAUGCCGCGUGUGUGAAGAAGGCCUUCGGGUUGUAAAGCACUUUCAGUGGGGAGGAAGGCGUUAAGGUUAAUAACCUCAUCGAUUGACGUUACCCGCAGAAGAAGCACCGGCUAACUCCGUGCCAGCAGCCGCGGUAAUACGGAGGGUGCAAGCGUUAAUCGGAAUUACUGGGCGUAAAGCGCACGCAGGCGGUCUGUCAAGUCGGAUGUGAAAUCCCCGGGCUCAACCUGGGAACUGCAUUCGAAACUGGCAGGCUAGAGUCUUGUAGAGGGGGGUAGAAUUCCAGGUGUAGCGGUGAAAUGCGUAGAGAUCUGGAGGAAUACCGGUGGCGAAGGCGGCCCCCUGGACAAAGACUGACGCUCAGGUGCGAAAGCGUGGGGAGCAAACAGGAUUAGAUACCCGCGUAGUC